UUAAGUUGUGAAUUAAUGUCACUAUAUUUGAUCCAUGGAUGCUUAUUUAAUAGCAGGUGAUACAUAUACCUUAUUUUUACACGUAAUUCCAACCUCGACAAACUGAUUAUAUGAUACCACAAAAGAAAAUCCAUUUCAUCUGGUACACGCAAGACAAACCUCUCAAGUAUUCAAUAUUAAGAAAGCAAACUGUUAGAUUAAGUUCACAUGAGCCAUAACUUAAGGUUCUUCUGAAGAAUCAGAAUAUGUGAAUCGUAAAAAUCAACGUGGCGUCGUUAGAGAUAUAGCUUCACAUUGUCCAUGUAGUUCAAAACAAUGGCCUAAAGGCGUUGUACCUGAACACAUUUCAACCAAGUAGUGAAAUCAAUCAAUCAUUCAAUUCAAAGGUGUGUGCAGGAUGGGAUUAACACAAGUCAACAAAACAAAAUGCCGAGCAUAAUGUAUCUUAGAUUGCAUUAAACAAAUAUAAUACGCUAACUUCAACUUGUAAACAAGUUCAUGUAAGUGUGUGAGAGAGGUGACAGGACACACCGUGAACUCAUCCCUUUUACCAAGCAGUGCAUACUAUUCGUAAAUGAAAAAUAUUAGAGAUUAAAAUUAACAUAGCUAAGCUCAUAACUAGGUGGUUGUACAUUGUUUCCCAAUAGUUCGAGCUAUACUUCCAAUGAUUGAAGAUGCAACACAUGUGAAGAUCAGACAAAAAAUUCUGCAAGAGUUCUUCUAGAGUUACAACAUGUGGCAGAUCUGAAUAAAUACAAAUAUAUAUCAAACAUACAACCAUGUACAGUAAUAUGCAUAGAAACAAUAAAAAUGAAUUUGUAGAAGCUAGCCUUCACCAUGCAUGUGUCGGGCUGCGUAUAUGCUUCAUAUUUUUUAAAGGAGGAAAGAACCUGGGCCUCUGCAUCAGAACAAUGCAUGCAGCCAUUUAAUUAAAAGUCUAGCAAAUCAAGGUCUAUAGUAUCUGGUUCACAUUCCUACGCAUAAAUCCAUUUUUUGUUAUGUUAUCAUAACAAACUUGCUUCCUUAGUUUGCAAUACAUAACCAUAUGGGCAAGUAAACAAAGAGAGAAACAAUAUGGUGGAUCAAUAAAAAAUGUGAACUGUUUACUUGCAUCAACAACACGAAGACUGAAGUGUGUACAUCAGGAAAAAUAACUUUUAUGUACAAAAUACCAAAAACUUAUACUACCUUAAAAAUCCCAGCAGAUGAAACUACAAAAAUGUGAAGUUUACCGUACACUCAUUUAGCUAGCCAAUUGUACAAUGUUGCAUAAGAGAACAUAUAGGACAGUACCCCUAUAGUCAACCAUUCAAGAACCCUGCAUGUCAGAAUUUCAACACUAAAAAAUACAUCAAAGUUGAGUGGAUAUAGAGCUAGACAAAAGAACCAGGUGCCCUGAGAACUAAUAAAUGAUAAAAGAAGAGAAACAAUCUCAGCAAAAUUGCCUAAGCUUUGACUAAUAGCAAAUACCAUGGCAUGGUAACAUGACUGAAUUGUACAUACAGUCCAUUGUGGAUUCCAACAAACAACCCCUCCUUACCUCCAUACUGUUACUAUUAAGCACUUCUCUGAACGGCCUCGUCUUGUAUCUCAUAUUAUAUUGAAUUGUAAGUAAGACCAUUUGAUAAAUGUGCUAUCCAAAUCUGCGAGCAAAGAAAGAAGAUAAAUAAUCAUUCCCAUAUGGUAGUACAUAGUGCCUGAUUACAGUAAUAACAUCCUUAACAACAAAGAUUAUGGGUGUCCAGGAUGCUAUCUGUUGAGUUGCAUUGCAUCAUAGUUGGGCCAGUCGGCGAGUGCCUAGGAACUGUUACAGCGACGCUUUAGGCGAGUCUUAAACUGCAGAAGAUAAAUUGUGGUUCCUUCCUGAAGGCUCAGUGAACAAGACAACAAAGGAAUGGUUGAUCCCCUCCUUGCCAGCUGAAAAAAUGCAAACAUAAUGCUUGGAGAAUCUCUUGUCGCAGUGAUCCCUUUCCAUUAGAAAAUUUAGAGAAGCCAAAAAAUGAAUGGUUGGACAGGGGGUGGCAUGUCUAACUCGAAUACUCGUUGCAGAUCCCUAACUGCUUGCUUUGCCAUUGCAUGCGCCCUCUGUCCAUCUUUUGCCUAGCAUAUGAGAUGUAGAUGAUUCCAACUGGCGAGCUUCCCGUGUGGUUCACCACUUCACAUCUCCACCGAUGGAUGAAUGGAAAAGAGGCAUGUCCAGGAUAGCUACAUUGCAUGAAAAACUAGGCAUGAUUCCCUGAUCGUGACGGAAAGCACCCGAAUGAGUAUUUUCCAUCUGCUUGUGCUUGAUGUGUGUACAAAAUCAGUAUAAUAUGAUCGUUGGUGAGCAAAAAAUACAAACAAUGCAAAUCAUAUUGGCAACAAAGCUUAAUUGUUGAAUGUGUGCAUUCAAAUAACGGAUCGAAGAUUGUUUUGAAACUCUAGUAACAAGCUUGCUUUGGCUGGCUUCAGUUUUAUCAACGUGAAUCAAUAUCUCACACAUGAAGAAAAAUUUCAAAUGUGAAGUAGCACGUCAAUGAAAAAACAAGGUGAACGCAACAAAGUAGAGAUGAAAGACCUCCGGCCCGACGGCUACUCGUCCCUUGACUCUGCGAGAUGAGGAGGAGAUGUGAAUAGAGGGCGGUUUAUGCAGCGUCCCCGACGGCCAGCAAGGCGGUUUAGGCGGCAUCCCCG
rnacentral:lncRNA from 1 species